rnacentral:rRNA from 1 species
GCUCACGGCCACACCACCCUGAGCACGCCCGAUCUCAUCCGAUCUCGGAAGCUAAGCAGGGUUGGGUCUGGUUAGUACUUGGAUGGGAGACCACCUGGGAAUACCUGGUGCUGUAAGCU